AGCUCGUAGUUGGAUUUCUGGAAUAUAUUAUAUAAUUAAUAUAUAAUAAUUAAUAUAAUGUUAACAUAAUUCAUAUUACUUUUUUUGAGUAUAUGAAAUUUUACUUUGAGAAAAUUAGAGUGCUUAAAGCAGGCAUUUGCCUUGAAUACUCCAGCAUGGAAUAAUAUUAAAGAUUUUUAUCUUUCUUAUUGGUUCUAAGAUAGAAAUAAUGAUUAAUAGGGACAGUUGGGGGCAUUUGUAUUUAACAGUCAGAGGUGAAAUUCUUAGAUUUGUUAAAGACAAACUAAUGCGAAAGCAUUUGCCAAGGAUGUUUUCAUUAAUCAAGAACGAAAGUUAGGGGAUCGAAGACGAUCAGAUACCGUCGUAGUCUUAACCAUAACCUAUGCCAACUAGAGAGUGGGGGGUGCCCCUUACUCCUUCAGCACCUUA
rnacentral:rRNA from 1 species